AAAAAAAAAAAAAAGUCGUGGUACGGCCUCGGCAGCGUCGGAGACGAGGAAGGUGCGGUGGUAUGCGGGCGAGGCCGCUCUCUGGGAAGAGAAAGAAAAAAAGAACGAGAGAAAAAAAAGAGAAGAGAGAAAAAGGUAUAAGGGUAUUUUAGUCAGUUUGCUGAAAAAGCGGACCGAAUCUGCAAAAACGAAAAAUGUGGCCCAAUUUUGUAAAAGCCCAAAAUAAAUAAAUUUUUAUGCAAAUCGGCCAAUAAAAAUUCUUUUGAAUUUCUCUUUUCAAAGAAACUAAAACAACGCUACUAUUUAAACC
rnacentral:lncRNA from 1 species